GACGCGUGGCCAAAUCGUUAGCGCGUUGGACUCCAGAUCGAGCGGUCCGGGUUCGAGCCCUGGUCUGGGUCA